AACUGGAAGAGUUUGAUCCUGGCUCAGAUUAAACGCUGGCGGCAUGCUUACACAUGCAAGUCGAACGGCAGCACGGGGCAACCGGUGUAGUGGCGAACGGGUGAGUAAAGCAUCGGAACGUGCCCUGGAGUGGGGGAUAACGUAGCGAAAGUUACGCUAAUACCGCAAUAUUCAGAGCAGGAAAGCAGGAUCGCAAGACCUUGAGGCCUGGGAGCGCCGAUGGAUUAGCUAGUUGGUGGGGUAAAGGCCACUUCGGUACACGAUCCGUAGCGGGUCUGAGAGAUGAUCCGCCACACUCGGACUGGGAGAUAUGGCCCAGACUCCUACGUGAGGCAGCAGUGGGAAUUUUAAGCCCGAUGGCGAAGCCUGAUCCAGCCAUGCCGCGUAGUGAAGAAGGCCUUCGCUUAAAGCUCUUUCGGCCGGGAAGAAAUCGCAUGGGUCAACAACCCGUGGAUGACGGUACCGAAUAGAAGCACCGGCUAACUACGCCACAGCAGCCGCAGGUAAUACGUAGGGUGCGAGCGUUAACGAAUACACAUUGCGGAAGCGGUGCAUAGUAAGUCAGAUGAAAUCCCCGGCCUGAACCUGAACUGCAUUUGAGACUGCUAAGCUGAGU
rnacentral:rRNA from 1 species